rnacentral:tRNA from 1 species
GUUUGGUUAGUUUAAUAGGCAAAACACCGCCUUGGUAAGGCGGAAUCGCAGGUUCGACUCCUGCACUGAACA